GGGAGGGCUCUUGGUCCCCUCCUCUUACCUUAGAAUCUCAGCAUUAAUUUAAAUCAAUUAUUUCAUGUGUCUCUGCCCCUACUUUCAUUGUUGAUUAAUAAAUUCUCUUUCCAUCUCUCACUUUCAAAUUCUCAAAGCAAUUGAUAUUAGCAGUCCAAUCGAUGGUACAUUACAGUGCAGGAAGCGGGUAGCCUCUUUCAGUAGUCAUACUGCUAUUCAUCCUUUCUUUCCAUUCUUUUUUUUUUUCUUUUUAGGGCCACACCCAGGGCAUAUGGAAGUUCCCUGGCUUGGGGUUGAAUUGGAGCUACAGUUGCCGACCUAUGACACAGCAACUCAGGAUCCGAGCCGUGUCUGCGACCUGCAUCACAGCUCAUGGCAAUGCCGGAUCAUUUAACCCACUGAGCGAGGCCAGGGAUUGAACCUGCAUCCUCAUGGAUACCAGUCGGGUUAGUUACCACUGAGCCAAGACAGGAACUCCUCCAUCCUCCAUUUCUUCUCACUCUUUGCUGCCUUCUAGUCCUCUCUUUCUUGCCAAUGAGAACUCAGUCACUUGACUACAUUUCAACUUCAAGAGAUGCUGGGAAAUGUAACCUGCCUGUGUGUGCAGGAGGAAAGGGAAAUAGCUUACAUGAACAAUUGGUUGGUCUCUAAAAAACAGGAAACAAGAAGAAAGUUCCUUUAUGGCUCAGUGGAUUAAGAACCCAACAUAGUGCCCAUGAGGGAUAGCAUUGUGAAUAUUCUAUGUGGAUUUGAUCUCAGGCCUUGCUCAGUGGGUUAAGGAUCCAGCAUGGCUGCAAGGUACGGUGUAGGCUUCAGAUGUACCUUGGAUCUGGCAUUACUGUGGCUGUGGCAUAGGUUGCAGCUGCAGCUCCAAUUCAACCUCUAGCCUGGGAACUUCCAUAUGCUGCAAGCCAUUUUUAAAAAAGAAAAGAACAGGUAGCAGCCUCAAGCUUAUGGUCUCUAGUUGUGCAAGUGCCCUGAAUCUGCCUGCAUAUGUUUGUCAAAGAGCCUCAGGUUUGUGGAAUUACUAGAAAAUGUGAGAUAGAGUUUUCCUGGGCUCUUUCCUAGAUAAGAAAACUUGAUGCUUAUCAGACAUAGAGAAUCUCAAUUGGUAGGAUUCCCCUGACUACUAGAUGUGAGCCAGCACCUAUUUGUAUACUCUGAAGACCUUAUUGCUACACAGAGCAAAGACACUUUUUCUGAACUUCUCUUUUAAGAGGGACAUCAAGAGCAUGUAGAAAGAAAUGCAUAGCUUGCUUGUGUGUCCUCUCAACAGCUGAUACUGCCCUGGAUUUUUACAGAUCCCAUCCCAUUGUCAGAUUGUGCAACCUAAUCCCUGGAUCCGGAAACAUGGCCACAAAGAUGUGAGUUCUGAACAAGUGUCUUGCAAAAGAAUUGUUAUCCCAUAUAGUUGAGGCAAGAGCUUGGUGACUCUGAUCCCAGCCCUGCUGUUAUCCAGCUUGGUGACCUUGGAUAUGUUACUUCAUAUCUGCAUUUUUGCUGAAAGGUUGAGUGUUUAAAAUACAUCAUUUUUGAGAAGCCUUAAGACUGGUGGUUGUGUUUUCUCAGCGGUGGUGCUGGGUAACACUAGUGGGAGAGGUACUCAAUUUCUUUUUAUUGUUGUCAUCAACUUUAGGCCUGCUUUUCCCGAAUGGAAGUUUCUUUAGGGGUAGGGUGAGACUUGGUGGACUUUGUACUCAUAUGGCCAACCCCAGCAGGAAGGUUUUAAAGAGGACCUCUAACUAUGAGGCCCAAAGGGUCUGUGUUGAUUUAUCAUAAGGAGGAGUUCUUAGAAUUCUGUCCUGAAUAUGAAACUGGGGGAUGGGAAAUAAAAUAAGAAAAAGGAGGGAUAGCAUUGUGAAUAUUCUAUAUCCUGGGCAAAAUGAUGGUAGGGUCAACUGGUCCUUGGCCUGCCCUUCAUUUAUGGCUGUCUUGCCUUUCUCUCCUGGAGCCCAGCCUAGGCAUCCUUUGCUGACAGUUGUUCUGAAUCCAGGGCCUUCCUCUUUGACUUGACACUUCUUUUUCUUGCACCCCUCUGGCUACUCUCAUAACCCUUCAUGUAGGUGUCUGUGCCUUUUAAGGACAUACUGCGUCUAAUGAGCAUAUCCUCAUUCAGAGAAAGGCAUUACCACUCUUUCUGAGGUGUAGUAGUAUAUUCUCAAAAGGAACAUCUGGAUACCAAAUUUCAUUCUUGACUGUGUGACCUCAGGGAGUUACUUCACUCAGGAUCAUCUGAGGCUCUAGAGCAAGAGAGAAUGGCCACAUGCUAGGCAGGGAGGGGGCUCACAGAGGUUUGAGCAGUCAAAAUCCCAUCACCAUUUCCCACAUGGAAGUCUCCCACUCUGCAGCUGCAAAGAGCUGGCCUUGACAUAGAGUUGUAGCAUUUCCCGAGACUUAGUUGAUAGAAGAAAUAGCAUUACAAGGAAUUAAUUAUUAGCCUUUGAGUCUUGAUAAGCAUUUGUUACAGACUGCUGUGCCUUUUCAUUAUGAUGUUGGGAAGGAGUGAGGAGGGAAGGCAUGGAGGAUGUUUUGCAGGCAGAUGAUGAAGGGACUUUGUAGACAGUGUGAUGAGAGAGGCCUCUGCAUAAUGACAGUCACUCAGGGAAAAUUCUGAGACUCCCAUGCAUCCCAGGCUCUUGAGAAAUAAGAACUUCCUGACAAAUCAUUUGGCUUAGUUUUAAGAAAAUGAGCCUCUUAAUUUGUAAACCAUCUUCAGGGACUGGCAUCUGAGUUAAGAAGCACGUUACUCUGGAAGAGAAAUAGAUGGAUGGGGAAAGGAACACAGUCAUCAGGAUAAGUAAACCUAGCCUCAGAGGUCAUGAGACAAGAAACCAGCAAAAAUAUCCCAAAUCUCCAAGACCACUCAGUGCAAUUCACCCCUCUGUGAUAAAUUGCAGCACUUAGUACCGGCCACCUAGUGGCGGAAGAGGGAACAGAAUGCUGAUUUAUGGGUUGCUAUGUUCCUGGUGGUUAACGAAUCUGACUNCUUUUUAUAAAAAUGUAUAAGACGGGGCUUAAGAUAGUUCACAUCAGAGGAGGAGUUUUAGCAUGGCAAUAUAACUUUACACUUAAAAAUUCAGCCAAUUUUGGAGUUCCCUUCGUGGCACAGUGGUUAACGAAUCUGACUAGGAACCAUGAGGUUGCGGGUUCAAUCCCUGGCCUUGUUCAGUGGGUUAAGGAUCUGGCGUUGCCGUGAGCUGUGGUGUAGGUCGCAGACUCGGCUCAGAUUCGCGUUGCUGUGGUUCUGGUGUAGGCCAACAGCAAUAGCUCCGAUUAGACCCCUAGCCUG
rnacentral:lncRNA from 1 species